rnacentral:lncRNA from 1 species
GCCCCUAAACAAAUAUAUACUAGUUCAGUGGUAAUGAACGCCAUACUAAUUUCCAAAUUGUACACAAGAAACUAAAAUUAAAAUAAUACAAGACUAACAAAGGCCAGAGGCUCCUGACUUGGGACAGGCGCAAAAAUGCGGCGGGGUUAAAGAUAAAUACAUUUGUAUAUAAAUAACUAAUCCCUAAUAAUUUUUCGUCUUAAAUGCAUAAUAUAUAGUGUUUUUUUUCUGAGUUUUAACUAAUCUCCUUUUAGACUUUCUGAGCCCAUGUGAACUCUAGCGACUUUGACUUUGUAUACAAAGCUUUGCACAACAUAAGAUUUCAAAACAAAAAUAUCCUUCCUGUCUGUCUGUCUGGGGUUUCUAUUAAACACAACUAUUUCGAAG